GAUAACUUAGCGAAAGUUACGCUAAUACCGCAUACGAUCUAUGGAUGAAAGCGGGGGAUCGCAAGACCUCGCGCGAUUGGAGCGGCCNNNNNNAGAUUAGGUAGUUGGUGAGGUAAAGGCUCACCAAGCCGACGAUCUGUAGCUGGUCUGAGAGGACGACCAGCCACACUGGGACUGAGACACGGCCCAGACUCCUACGGGAGGCAGCAGUGGGGAAUUUUGGACAAUGGGCGAAAGCCUGAUCCAGCAAUGCCGCGUGCAGGAUGAAGGCCUUCGGGUUGUAAACUGCUUUUGUACGGAACGAAACGGCGAGCUCUAAUACAGUUUGCUAAUGACGGUACCGUAAGAAUAAGCACCGGCUAACUACGUGCCAGCAGCCGCGGUAAUACGUAGGGUGCAAGCGUUAAUCGGAAUUACUGGGCGUAAAGCGUGCGCAGGCGGUUCUAUAAGACAGGCGUGAAAUCCCCGGGCUCAACCUGGGAAUUGCGUUUGUGACUGUAGGGCUAGAGUACGGCAGAGGGGGAUGGAAUUCCGCGUGUAGCAGUGAAAUGCGUAGAUAUGCGGAGGAACACCGAUGGCGAAGGCAAUCCCCUGGGCCUGUNCUGACGCUCAUGCACGAAAGCGNGGGGAGCAAACAGGAUUAGAUACCCUGGUAGU
rnacentral:rRNA from 1 species